GAUGAACGCUGGCGGCGUGCCUAACGCAUGCAAGUCGAGCGAGGACCGCCCGGUGGCAACACCGGUCGGUGCCGAGCGGCGAACGGGUGAGUAACACGUGGGUAACCUGCCCCCGACACUGGGAUAAGCCCGGGAAACUGGGUCUAAUACCGGAUAUGAGCCUCCUCCGCAUGGUGGGGGCUGGAAAGGGUCUCCGGUCGGGGAUGGGCCCGCGUCCUAUCAGCUUGUUGGUGGGGUAACGGCCUACCAAGGCGACGACGGGUAGCCGGCCUGGGAGGGUGUACGGCCACACUGGGACUGAGACACGGCCCAGACUCCUACGGGAGGCAGCAGCGGGGAAUAUUGCGCAAUGGGCGAAAGCCUGACGCAGCGACGCCGCGUGCGGGACGAAGGCCUUCGGGUUGUAAACCGCUUUCAGCAGGGACGAAGCUUCCGAGGUUAAUAGCCUACGGGGUGACGGUACCCCCAGAAGAAGCCCCGGCUAACUAC
rnacentral:rRNA from 1 species